rnacentral:rRNA from 1 species
GAGUGAACGCUGGCGGUAGGCCUAACACAUGCAAGUCGAACGGCAGCACAGUAAGAGCUUGCUCUUACGGGUGGCGAGUGGCGGACGGGUGAGGAAUACAUCGGAAUCUACUUUUUCGUGGGGGAUAACGUAGGGAAACUUACGCUAAUACCGCAUACGACCUACGGGUGAAAGCAGGGGAUCUUCGGACCUUACGCGAUUGAAUGAGCCGAUGUCGGAUUAGCUAGUUGGCGGGGUAAAGGCCCACCAAGGCGACGAUCCGUAGCUGGUCUGAGAGGAUGAUCAGCCACACUGGAACUGAGACACGGUCCAGACUCCUACGGGAGGCAGCAGUGGGGAAUAUUGGACAAUGGGCGCAAGCCUGAUCCAGCCAUACCGCGUGGGUGAAGAAGGCCUUCGGGUUGUAAAGCCCUUUUGUUGGGAAAGAAAAGCAGCAGGUUAGUACCCCGCUGUUCUGACGGUACCCAAAGAAUAAGCACCGGCUAACUUCGUG